GCCUACGGGGGGCAGCAGUAGGGAAUUUUCGUCAAUGGGCGCAAGCCUGAACGAGCAAUGCCGCGUGAACGAGGAAGGUCUUCGGAUCGUAAAGUUCUGUUGAAGGGGAAAAAGAGCGGAGAGAGGAAAUGGUCUCCGAUUGAUAUUACCCUUCGAGGAAGUCACGGCUAACUACGUGCCAGCAGCCGCAGUAAUACGUAGGUGGCGAGCGUUAUCCGGAAUGAUUGGGCGUAAAGGGUGCGUAGGCGGCCUGCUAAGUCUGGAGUGAAAGGUACCGGCCCAACCGGUACAGGCUCUGGAAACUG
rnacentral:rRNA from 1 species